AUGGGCCUGGCGUCGUCGGUUAUGCAGUGCUUCGGCCUCACGCGGAAGAUCCUCCAGGACCUCCACAUCGAGGCGGCCAGCCUUCCUGACCCGGACAACUGCGCCCGCUGCAGCGCCGACGUGCGCCACCACCAUGGCCCCUGGAUCGCCCUCUUGGGCGGCUUCGUCAUCGACCCCUACAGCGGCCACGCCCGCCACCUCCCCGACAACUCCAAGACCGUCGGAUCCACCAACGACUGGCUCGCCCUCGGCCUUGGCCAGAAGUACUGCACCACCAACAAAGACGGUGACAACCAGGAGGAGGGGCGGUCGGAACACCACGUCGUGCACAACUAUGUCUUGCACAAUCCUUUCUCAAACAGGUCAUUGCCGCUGACUGAGCUCGAUGCUGUCAUCGUGGAGGAUAGGUCUCUCAUCCGCAAGUUUCUCGUGCGCUCCACGGUCGACGACUUCAUCGCCGUCAUCACCAACAACAGGAAGCAUCCGAUCAUUGUGUUCCAACGAGGGAAAGGCGUGUGGUCGCCCGAGCCAUGGGAAACUCCAUAUAUCUACAUUAUCGAUAUCGCGUUUCUUGGAGAUAAACUAUAUGGCAUAACCAUGGCUGAGGACCUCAUCCCCCUUGACCUCGCAUUGGACGGAGAAGGAAGGCCAAGGGUUACAAUGGGAACACGUGUCAUCAAGCAAUCGCACAACCAUGAUUAUGAUGAUACCACUUUUGAGAAGGAGGGCGACGAUGAUGACGAUGACCAAAAUCAAGACGAGGAAGACGAAGAACACGACAACGAUGCAGAGGAUGAUGAUGAAGAAGAAGACAAUGACUUGACCCAUAUCAAUUGCUCUCUUGAAUUUGAUCAAGACGGUGAACCUGAUGAUAUCCCCAUAAUUAGCCGGCACCUCAUCGAGUCAUGUGGGAAGCUACUCAUGGUAAGACAUCGUCGGUACUUCCAUCCAUACCUCGAUGCAGGACCUACAUGGGUCACUGUCCAGGUGGAUGUAUUUGAAGCAGACUUUAAUACACACGCUUGGGUGCCACUGACGGAAGGGCUAGGUGGUGGUCGAGCACUCUUUCUUAGCAUGAAGUUCUCUAAGUCUGUCCCAGCACCUUGUGGAGAGGUGAAGGAAGAUGCAAUUUAUUUUAUGGACACGGGCAAUGUGUUCAACAUGAAGUACGGUACUUCUAACCCGUCAAAGUUUUGUGAGUAUCCAGGAACAACAUGGCUCUUCCCUUCUGAGUUGAUACUUUGA
rnacentral:rRNA from 1 species